rnacentral:tmRNA from 1 species
GGGGAUGUAUUGUUUCGACAGGAAUUGCUCUUUAAAAACUGCAAGCCGAAUAUGAUUCUAAAGCGCGUUAAGCUUUGAAUUAAACUUACGUGCAAGUAACAAAGCACAACAGUUCUUAGCAGCUGUAAGCGGAGCCUUUGGCGACGUUUUCGGUUCGCGAGAGCUUGCUAUUGCGACUGCCUAAAAACAGCGCAUAGCAUGUCUUUUUAGUUUUCUCUUGGUGAGGCUAAAACGGCAAAAACUUAGCCAAGAUAGUCCACUCAUCUGAUCAAUGGGCGAGACGAAACUUUGAUCUUUGUUUAAGUUUUUCCUGCUGGCCGGUUACAAAUUUAAACGAGAUUUUAUUGACCAACUAAGCUUGUAGAUGUUUUUAUUUUGUUUUCUUGGACCCGGGCUCAAACCCGGCAUCUCCACAA